rnacentral:lncRNA from 1 species
GAGCGUGUUUGGCAGUGUGGUAGCGGUUGCUUUUCAAAUAGCUUUUCGUGCCGAAAUACAUGCAAAUGAUGUUUUUUCAUUUUUUAAAAAUCAUUUUUGAUAUCAGCACAUCAAAACGAUCCAAAAAGUAUAACCGUAACUCAAUUUUAGCAAAAAAAAAAAAAAAAAAUUUUUGAAUUUUGUUAAAACGCCGGUUUGGCAGCAAUGCCAAACG